ensembl:lncRNA
CUCUUGGCACUCUCGCUGGCUCCUGGCAGGCCUCAGCCCCGCAUUUCUGCGCAUGGCCAGGCCCAGCCCCCACCUGAAGUGGACCCUGGACGCUUUGUGAGGACCCUCUGACGCCAUCCAGCCCUCUGGAGCAAAGCCAGGAGCCCAGCCAGGAGCGGGCGGUUUGAGGGAGCUCAAAGGACUGUGGGGAAGGGCUCAGGGCAGGUGCUUCUGAGUGACUCCAGGGCGGAAUCAGGCCUGGGGCUGAGGAUCCUGGAGAGCCCGUCCCACACUGACGGCGUCCUCACCACUCAAGCUGCAAGAGCACAGGACGGGAGGCAGGAUGCGGAAAGGGCGCCCCGUCACAGGGCUCUUCCCCUGGAGGCCUGUCUCUCAAAGCUACACCACACCGGCUUCUGCUCAGUAGACAGGGGGACUCCUACCCUGGGGAGUCCGCCCUGCUCCUCCAGAUUUAACGACUCCCAAAACGUCAUCUCUGCUGGGACAACUCCCGGGCUCUGUUCCAGCCAGCGGGAACCCAGGUCAUCUGACUCCCUUCCCAGGGCUCAUGCCUUUACCGCCUGGCGGGCCUGUGACUACACCAGAUGUGGCUGUGAGCCAGGCCCAGGAGAGGAUCAUUCAGGGACCGGGAUCCUUCCCCCCUGUGGCUCUGCCGACUCCAACAGGCGGUUUCGAAGGAGGCCUCAAACGAGAAAGAGAAAGGAAGGAUGAGGCCACACUCGUGUAAAUCUGCCCAAGCCCGCAUUCUCUCCAGCUUCGCAUCCUGAACUGCCCCCAGGAUUUCAGACCUGUGUAUCCACCUGCGCCUGGAUGCUUCCGCCUGCGUGUGCACAGGCCCUUCACACUCAGCACGCCUCAAACUGAACUUGCCUUCAUCCGCCCGCCCCCCCAAAUUGGCUUCUCCCGUGGCGACAACCUAACCCCAAGCUUGUCCCUGCUGAAAACCUGAGGGUCAUCACGGUCUCGUUUCUCAGGUUAAAUACUGGCCAAGCCGUGUCUCGAAUCAGUUCCCGCCAUGCCCGUCCUCAGUUCAGGCCAUCACGUCCUGCUCAGACACCCGCGGCUUCCUCCUAACAGGUCUUUGUGCCUCUAGUCUGUUCCCUCCAACCUGUCUCCACAGGCAGCCAGCGCGCCUGGCCUGCGGUCCCAGUGGGACCACGGCGCUCACUUUCUGAAGCGCGUAUGGGCUUCCCUCUGAGGCCCCCAAGUCCGCUCAUGACGGGCCCCACUACAGCAAGCCCCCGCUUCCCCUGACGUCCCAGCAACGUGAGGCUGUCCCAUGCACAUACUCUGAGGAUCCCUGCUGCCACCCUAAGGUCUGGGUGGGCGCCCCUCAUGCCACUAAAGAGGCCUUUAUUUUCCUCUUUCGGUGCCUGUCACACUCCUUGGUAAAGCUCUUCUUCUAAGUCUGCCUCCAAACACCACGAGAGCCGGGGUCAACUCUAUCUCACGCCCUCGGAGCCGAGGACGGCGCUCAGCACACACCAGGGACCCAAAACUUGUCCAGUGAGUGAAUGAAGAUGGCGGGAAGGACCCGGUGCAGAUGUGGAAAACCGUGAUCGAGAUGCACUUGCCUGACGCUCAGUGAACAUUCUUUCUCAGGACAGCCGAAGUGUGUGUGUGGGGGGGGUAUACAGGGUGUGUGUGCGUGUGCGUGUGUGUGAAAUCUGAUCCUUUGCUUGAGAGCCUCCCGUCAGUUAAUCUUGACAGGC